UGCAGUCGAGCGGAACGAUCCCAGCUUGCUGGGAGGCGUCGAGCGGCGGACGGGUGAGUAAUGCAUAGGAAUCUGCCCGAUAGUGGGGGAUAACCUGAGGAAACUCAGGCUAAUACCGCAUACGUCCUACGGGAGAAAGCAGGGGCUCUUCGGACCUUGCGCUAUCGGAUGAGCUUAUGUCGGAUUAGCUGGUUGGUGAGGUAACGGCUCACCAAGGCGACGAUCCGUAGCUGGUCUGAGAGGAUGAUCAGCCACAUCGGGACUGAGACACGGCCCGAACUCCUACGGGAGGCAGCAGUGGGGAAUAUUGGACAAUGGGGGCAACCCUGAUCCAGCCAUGCCGCGUGUGUGAAGAAGGCCCUCGGGUUGUAAAGCACUUUCAGUGAGGAAGAAUGCUUGUCGGUUAAUACCCGGCAAGGGAGACAUCACUCACAGAAGAAGCACCGGCUAACUCCGUGCCAGCAGCCGCGGUAAUACGGAGGGUGCGAGCGUUAAUCGGAAUUACUGGGCGUAAAGCGCGCGUAGGCGGCUUGAUAAGCCGGUUGUGAAAGCCCCGGGCUCAACCUGGGAACGGCAUCCGGAACUGUCAGGCUAGAGUGCAGGAGAGGAAGGUAGAAUUCCCGGUGUAGCGGUGAAAUGCGUAGAGAUCGGGAGGAAUACCAGUGGCGAAGGCGGCCUUCUGGACUGACACUGACGCUGAGGUGCGAAAGCGUGGGUAGCAAACAGGAUUAGAUACCCUGGUAGUCCACGCCGUAAACGAUGUCGACUAGCCGUUGGGGUCCUCGAGACCUUUUGUGGCGCAGUUAACGCACUAAGUCGACCGCCUGGGGAGUACGGCCGCAAGGUUAAAACUCAAUGAAUUGACGGGGGCCCGCACAAGCGGUGGAGCAUGUGGUUUAAUUCGAUGCAACGCGAAGAUCUUACCUAC
rnacentral:rRNA from 1 species